CUUUUUCUAUUUUUGUUUGCGUAUGACAUGCUGUCUUGUUUCUAUUUAUUCCAAUGUUAAAAUGUCACCUGACAUGUCGUCUUGUUUUUGUUUAUUCCAAUUCUCAAAUGUCACUUGCACGGUUAUAUGUAAAACCAAUAUAUACAUUAACAAUACCCGCAUUCUUCAUUAACAGUAAUACACAUGAAUGAAGAGGCCUCCAUUAACAGGCGGCAUGAAUGAAAAGGCCUGUAAAAUAUUAUGAAAGAUAGAAAUCGUAAGACAAGUAAAUGCGGUCCUUACCAUAGGCCAACCCACGCAAUAAUACAGACCUUCCACUACAGGGAUUACUGUUUAGGGUUUAUGAUUAAGCUUAAUGCACUUUUGCGCAAAGCGGUGGUUCACACCAGGAUUAAUUGACAUGAUGCUGUGUACCUAUGCUGCCUUCAUACUUUUGGGCACAAUCAGCCCUGAGCUCUCUGCUAACAGUAACCUAAACAAGCAGAAGCAUAUUACAAAUUACACAGGACUAGGGCUGGGCAUCGAAUCGGAUUCGGAUAAAUCCGAUCCGAACUUCUUUAGAUCGGAUUAGGAUUUAAUCAAUAAUCCGAUCGGAUAUAAUCUGUAUCAUCCGAUCGGAUUUGAUUCGGGUCGAUCCAAACAAUCCGAUCGGAUUACACUUAUAUAAAAAAAUAAUUAAAUAUAAAAACAAAACCCAAUAUCUCCAUAUAUUUCCACUCAUCUUCAUCACCAAUAUUUUUUCAAAUCAUUAACAAUUUCAAGAUCUAACAUCUCUCAAUAACAACAGCAACAAUGGCCGUCUCCUUCAACAUCAACCAUCAUCGUCAAGCUUUUGUUGAUGAAGUAAUGGUGGAGCCGCCGGUGCCGGUAGGUUUCAAAUGUAGGAUCUGAAAGCAUCAUCCAAACCAGUCAAACUCACCUAAAUCCAAACUCAAUCCGAACCGAUCCAAAUCCGAAUUUAUCCGAAAUAUUCAUCCGAUCCGAACUAUUUCGGAUCGGAUUUGAUAUUCGGAUUGGAAUCGGAUGAUUUUUUUUCCAAUCCGAAUUAUCCGAAAUCCGAUCAGAUUCAUCCGAAUCCGAAAUUGCCCACCCCUACACAGGACAAGUGAACAGAACAAAAUUUUAUUCAUGGAUAAGACAAGUAUUGAAAGCAAUGGAUACCUCGUACCCCUUUGCUUGGUCUCAUUAAUCUGUCUAACCUUACUACAAGCCCUGAAACCAGUGAAAGAAUUGGUGACUUAUAUCCAAACUGAAGUACAAGGUUAAAUGAUAAUAUCAGAGUUAUGUCAGAACAAACAUUGCCUGCAACGUAUAACGAAGGUAAGAUGGUUACACUUUUAAUAGUGCCAUUAAAGAAAUAGAAAAAAAAUUAAAAAAAAAAAGGGAAUUAAGUUAUGCCAUUGUAGGAGUUCCCGAACUCCAAGAACUACAUAAAGUUCACGGAAACUAACAAACUCCCUGAAUAAUCAAUUUAAGCAUUGUUAUGUAUCCUCUUAGCCCAUCAGUAUUGGGAAAGGGAGGAGAAAAUCAAUGCUAACAAUGAAAAGAAUAUACAAAGAUUCCACCAACUUUAAUCUAAAUACAUAGUAUUGGGACUAACAAAAGGUCAUGCGUCACAGAUCAUAAUAAAAAAAGAACUAAUAUAGAAAGUAAGGGAUUUAUGCUAUUCGUGACGAGAUUAUUAUGCUAUAUUUCUCCAAACAGAAUUUUCUGUGAUAUAAGAGUUCCUGAACUCCAAGAACUAGAUAGAGAGAGUCCUAAGAGACUAACAAAACUCCAACUAUUCAAUGCAAGCAUUUUUCUGGAUCCUCAUAGCCUACGGGUAUUGGGAAAGGGAGUUGUAGUUCAAUGCUAACAAUAAAAAAUUUACAAAGAUUCCAUAAAUUUAACAUGAACACACAAUCUCACAACCAAAGUCAAGCACCAUGUAACAUGGAUAGAAAAGAAGUGAGGGCAUCAUCCUACUCGUGAAGAGAUAAUUUUAGCCGGAUUUCUCAAAGAAGAUACAGUGAAAAUCUGCAAUAUAGGAGUUCCCAAACUCCAAGAACUACAUAGAAAGUUCAAAUAGGCUAACAACAUUCCAACUAUUCAAUAUAAGCAUUUUUCUGGAUCCUCUUAUUCCACCGGUAUUGGGAAAGGGGAGAACUAAUUCAAUGCUAACAAUAAAACUAUUUAGAAAGACCUACAAAUUUACCCCAAAAUACAUAAUCUCACAAUCUAUGGAAUGGUCAUACAUCACGGAAAAUAGAUAUUAAAAAAAAAGGCAAAAACUAAGAGCAUUAUGCUACUCAUGAAAAUAUUAUUAUGCUAGAUUUUUCAGAUACGAGGUAGUACAAUAUAGGAGUUCCCAAACAUCAAGAACUAGAUGGAAAGAAUUCGAAGAGACUAACAAUACUGCAAUUAGUCAAUGUCAGCAUCUUUCAGGACCCUCUUAGCCCACCAGUGUAGGGAAUGGAAGUAGUAAUUCAAUGCUACCAAUACAAAGAUUUGCAAAGGUUCCACAACUUUAAAUCAAAUCCACAAUCAAAGGAAAGGUCAUAUCGCUAGCUAAUAAAGAUAUUAAUUGCUUUAAAGGAAGUAUCAACGUGGACGUAAGGACAAAACUAUACCAAGAAACUCAAAUUCUGAGAACAUGCAAACUUUUGCAGCUAAAACUCAACAGAAAACACUCCAGAAACAACAUUGUAGUAGAUACAGAAGGCAGUAAAGCCGGAAAGUGCUUACAGUUUUUUUCAUUUAACCAGCAAGGUAACUGGUAAAAUAACUUGAUGUAGGAAUCCCUAAACUCCUAGAACUUGGUAAUUAUAAAGUUAUAGAGCCUUAAAAACUCCCGACUUAAUAUACGAAUUGUCAAGUAGACUCUUAAACCAAAUAAAUUCAUUGGUAAGAUCGGCAGAAAAACUUGAUCAAUUCUAGUAGAGCUACACUAAUCCAACCCUGUUAACAAGUUUUGUUCCAGAUAAGAAAGGCAGAAAAGCUUGAUCAAUUCUAGCAGAACUACACUAAUACAACCUGAUAACAAGUUUAUGUUCCAGUACACGAAACCUACAAAAUAAAAGUGAUUCCCAGUUGGGAACUGAGGAGAGUUGUCGCAAUGGCACAUGGGAACAUUAUUCUUACUCUUUCUAGCCUCCAAAACUGAACAUGAAAGAUCUGAAAAUGAGAUAAAACCUUUCCCACCUGAAUAUCUUGGUAAUGCCAAGUAGCAAGGUAUGUCUCAGCCAAGAAAACUGUAUCGCAUUAACAGUAGAUCAUUGCAUGAGGUAAAUCAAGCGCAUCUGUCCAUAGAUUUAUGCAUCAAAAGGAAUUUUAAAAAGGAACUACUUAUGAAGAGAAACCAAAUAGGAUAUAGUGCAAUGUAGGAGUUAUCGAACUCCAUCGAAAUAAAAAUAGUUCCCAAGAGAGUACAAAACUCCAAAUGUUCAAUCUAAGCAUUGAUUCUGGAUCCUCUAAGCCCAUCAUUAAUGGGAAAGGGAGGAGUAAUUCAAUGCUAACCAUUAAAACUUUUUCACACGCAAGCAAUAGGUUCCGCAAAUUCAGCCCGAAUAUCAUAAUAAAACAAUCAAGGAAAAUGUCAUCAUAUACAGCAAGCUAGAUGCUAACUGCUAAGCAUACCCCAAAAGCAAAAAAAAAAUAAAAAUCUAAAGCUCCAAUUUCAUGUAUGAAUCCAUCAACAUAAAUUACAUCUAGAUGAACUACUGCAAGUAACUUGAUCUAUAAAAAAAAGGGUACAAAAAUUAAUCGAAUUAAACUUCAAUAAAGAACACAGCCAUAAAGAAAACCAAUAUAAUAAUUAAAAAAAAUCAAAAGCCCAUUUGAAAGAACACAAAAACCCUUUAAAAAAAAUAACGAAUUAAGAGCCGUGGCCACAAUAAUAAGAGCAACAAUCUUUUUUACUGACCUUCCAAAACCUCCUUCAUCUCCAACCCAUAACAUAACACAUCAACCAAAAAGAAAUGAAUGGAUAAAUAAAAAUUCACAUAUUUGGCCUAUGUAAGUGUGUUUGACAAAAUAUGGAUUGAAGGCUAAUGAUCGGGCUCGGAUUGGUUUGGUAGCCGAGAAAAAAAAAUCAGAAAAAUUUAGAUAAAAGAGAAAAGAGAAGAAGCUAGGAGCUUCUAAAGUCUUACCCUGUCUAAACAGUUGACACGGCUUUGCUGUAAAGUGAGACCAGAUUGUAGACAACUUUUAAAAGUCAAGAUGAUAACAAAACUCACCGUUUCAAGGCAGGAUAAGGACUAAAUUUUCAAUUAAUAAUAAUCCGAUUCUGG
rnacentral:lncRNA from 1 species